rnacentral:rRNA from 1 species
AAUGAACGCUGGCGGCAGGCCUAACACAUGCAAGUCGAGCGAGCAUUUCGGUGCUAGCGGCGGACGGGUGAGUAACGCGUGGGAACGUGCCCUUUUCUGCGGAAUAGUCCUGGGAAACUGGGGUUAAUACCGCAUACGCCCUUUUGGGGAAAGAUUUAUCGGAGAAGGAUCGGCCCGCGUUGGAUUAGGUAGUUGGUGGGGUAAUGGCCCACCAAGCCGACGAUCCAUAGCUGGUUUGAGAGGAUGAUCAGCCACACUGGGACUGAGACACGGCCCAGACUCCUACGGGAGGCAGCAGUGGGGAAUCUUAGACAAUGGGGGCAACCCUGAUCUAGCCAUGCCGCGUGAGUGAUGAAGGCCUUAGGGUUGUAAAGCUCUUUCAGCUGGGAAGAUAAUGACGGUACCAGCAGAAGAAGCCCCGGCUAACUCCGUG